UACGAAGGGGGCUAGCGUUGCUCGGAAUUAUUGGGCGUAAAGCGCACGUAGGCGGUCCUGUAAGUCGGGUGUGAAAGCCCCAGGCUUAACCUGGGAAGUGCACUCGAAACUGUAGGGCUUGAGUAUGGAAGAGGGUCUCGGAAUUCCCGGUGUAGAGGUGAAAUUCGUAGAUAUCGGGAGGAACACCAGUGGCGAAGGCGGAGACCUGGGCCAAUACUGACGCUGAGGUGCGAAAGCGUGGGGAGCAAACAGG
rnacentral:rRNA from 1 species